rnacentral:lncRNA from 10 species
CUGGCUGAUGGCCGGAGUCCUUGUUCACACGGACAUCUACGGACCCACCCGGCUCACAGAUGGCAAGGGCUCUUGCUCCCUCCUACCCCAGCCACAGCAAUGCCUUUGAGCCACACUAACCCUGCAUCGUGCAUUUCAUGAGCCACAGAGCCCCGGGAAUGGCAGGAAUAAAACACAGGUUCUCCGACGGUCAGUGACCCUGCUGUUAGCUACCCAGGUCUUGCACUGUUUUCCCUCCUCAAAUAACAGCUGUCCUUUGACCAGCACAAUCGACCUCUGCUGUGCAAACGCCAGAAGGGAAAGAGGAGUUUUACUGUCUCACCAUCCAUAAGACCACUCUUUUUCGUGAGUUUGGUGCCAAAACUCCUGUCUGAACUGAUGUGAAGUCACCUAGGGCUGUUUGUCCUGCGUCACGGGACUAUUCAUACAUUUUGAUUAAG